GCUCCUCCAAACAGCUAUAGAGACCCAGAAAUGCCUGUGGAAAGCUACAGAGGACUUGGGCAAGGCGUUAGAGCCGGACGUUGUGGUCCCUGGGGGAGCCAACCGGGGAGGUGCCUAUGAUCUUUCUUUCCAAGUUUGAGGGUUCAGGGCAAGCAGUUAAGAAGGGAAGAUGAACAUAAAGUAGGGAAGAGCAAAAAUGAGUUGGAACCUAAGACACGAGCUGGUCAUUCUUUCACUGUCUCCAACUUUAAAGAUAUGAGUAUCCUUGCUAGAGGAGCUGACACUUUUUGCCACAGGACUAGACACACACACAGCUCAGGAAUCAAAAAAGGUGAAGGAAGACUCAGGGAAAAGCUUCUGCCCCAUCCCAACAAGGUGAACCAGCUGAUUGGUGACAAAGUAGAUGAGCCGCAGUAGCACCUAGUGUCCCUGCACCACCGUUUCAAGUAUAAAACUGGAGGGAUGCUUCAGUUCUCCCCUUCAAGACUUACACAACCAUGUCUCUGUUGGGCUAUUCUAACCAGAAACAAAAGGAAAGGAA
rnacentral:lncRNA from 1 species